AAAAAAAAAAAAAAAUCAUACUUGUAUGGUUAAAACAUCUAUCCUUUACCGAGCGGAACAUUAAGUGGUAAUAAGUGGUAACCAUAAUCGAACAUGGCAGCCACUUCUAGUUGACAUCCCCAAACAGCAUUUGUCAUAAUUAAUUAUACGCUAAUAUAAACAUAUAAAUAAUCACCCCCUUCAAAUCAUUUUCUUCCAUCAUCCAAAAGAAAAUUGUUGGAGCCACUCCACAAGAAGAAAGAUGGCGAUCACAACCUCAACCCGAGCCAUAGUUUUCGCUAUUACCAUUCUCUUGGUCGCCAUCCAAACCGUUCACGCAGACUAUUACCGGCCGCGACUACCUACACUUAUGAGCCCUCCUCCAUACGGCGCGGAGCCCAAGCCGCUCCCAACUCCUAGCCCCAAACCUAUCCUCUACCAUCCUCCUCCCACCUCCCACUACCAGCCACCCACGGGCUCGUUUGAAGAUCAGUUCCUUGCUCCGCAUAAUUCUGUUCGGACCAGCUUAGGUCUGUCUCCACUAGUUUGGGACGGCAGGAUCGCGAGCUACGCAACUUGGUGGGCUAACCAGAGGCGGUAUGACUGCUCCCUAACCCACUCAACUGGUCCAUACGGUGAGAACUUGUUUUGGGGAAGUGGCUCAGACUGGACACCAACUUUCGCAGUGGAGUCAUGGACCGUGGAGGCCAAGUCCUACAACCACAUGACCAACUCGUGUGAAGGCGGUAUGUGCGGUCACUACACUCAGAUCGUAUGGCGUGACACGAAACGGAUAGGUUGCGCUCGCGUUGUCUGCGAGAACGGUGCAGGAGUUUUCAUCACUUGCAACUACGACCCACCGGGUAACUACGUUGGAGAGAAUCCUUACUAACUUUGUCUAACACUUGGUUUUGUAAUUAAGUCGUUGGUGAAUUCUUAAUCUAUGUGUUUUAAUCUUCGUGGCUUUUAUAUUUCCUUGUGACUUGUGAGCUAAGUAUUGCAUGGGUUUUAUGUUGGUGGUGUUACGAGCAGUUUGUUGUUUGUAUUGUACUUUUCAUUUUUGUAAUGGCUAUGUCAACAAAUGAAAAAAAAAAAAUUAACAGUGCACAGAGACACAGGGACAUUCCAUAGUUCCAUACUUCCAUUAAAUUUCCUAGAUCAUCUUUAUAUAUAAAAGACACUUUUAAUCCCUCCUGAGUGUGCCAACAAGGAUGCCAGCGCAACAAUUCAUGAUCUACUGUUUAGACACGUCAGCAACUCAUCGUUUCAUUAAAACGUGUAAUGACAAUACGUAUCUACGUGGGCCUGACGCAACCGAACUUAUAUACAUGCAACUGCAAUUAUCAGUUCGAGUUACCUGGUCUGGAUUUGGAUAUACUGUAUCAAUUGUUACGGGCUUGACAUUUGGGCUUCGUUAUGUUUUCUUACGCGGCCCGACGACCUUAGUCUCCUGAUGGAACCCUAAUCAGACUCUACGCUCACCUUCGUGAUCUCCGCUCCCCUACGUUCGGCGCAUACGCGAUUCAUCAUAUGUAACGGUUCUUCAGUAAUUAAUGGUCUUAAAUCGACUUUGAUCGCCAUCCCACUGCGAAGCUCUCUCCUGCCCCGCCCCUAUGCUAUAUAAGGAUCUUACCGGUUUUCUUUUCCGAUCUCAAGACUGGGCGGUGCUCAUCCGUCGUGGAGGCUAGGCUGCUUCGGUUCUGGGAGGCUAGGAACGUUAAGCGUGGUGGAGAGCUAAUGUGGAUGGAUCUGCUCAUGGUUGAUGUCAACUCGACUGUGAUGCAAGUCACGAUCAGUGCUGGUCGUCUCCCACAGUUCCGGGAAAUACUCCGUGCCGGAACAAUGUUUUCCGUGUCCGGUUUUGAUGUCUCCAGAUGCGCGCAGAAUUUCCGGCUCACUGAUUCAUCUUUGAUGAUCCGGUUCAACGAGUCAACUUCGUUCCAGGAGUUGACCGAACCUGACUCUCCCUUGCCAGAUGAAGCAUUCCGGUUCCGCAACCAUUCGGAGC